UACGUAGGGGGCAAGCGUUGUCCGGAAUUAUUGGGCGUAAAGAGCGCGUAGGCGGUCCGAUAAGUCGGCUGUGAAAGUCAGGGGCUCAACCCCUGAAUGCCGGCCGAUACUGUCGGGCUAGAGUCCGGAAGAGGCGAGUGGAAUUCCCGGUGUAGCGGUGAAAUGCGCAGAUAUCAGGAGGAACACCAAUUGCGAAGGCAGCUCGCUGGGACGUUACUGACGCUGAGACGCGAAAGCGUGGGGAGCAAACAGG
rnacentral:rRNA from 1 species